UAGCGGUAGGGGCAGUGGCUGUAAGCCCCCUGAUGAGAAUUGUUGUGAGUUCGAAACUGCUG
rnacentral:hammerhead_ribozyme from 21 species